rnacentral:lncRNA from 1 species
CAUUAUCACAGAUCUCUUGUGGACAAGUCAAAAUUCUUCAAUUAAGGUUAUAUCUAGUUAAAGGAAUUUUUCUCUUUGGUCUACAUCCCCACCCUGAAUGUCCUUGCCUGUUAGUUCCUUGCAGGUGAAAGGUAAAAAACCUUUGCAACUUCAUGCUAUAAUUGUGCCUUUGAAUUUUCAGAGGAAAAGACAGUGAGAGAGCAAGAGCAGAUUGAGAAGCAGAAGAGUGAGUCGCAAAAAGAGAAAAUGACAGAAAUGGAGCACCCUGCCACAUGCAUCUUCAGCUUGGAAAAAAACCACAGGAUGAAGAGCAUACAAUUGAAGUAGAAAGACCACAGCUAUACAGAGGCUCAUGAAGGGUAAAGAGGAGAUUUUUGAAUGCUUCCACUUAUUGCUUCCAAUAAAUGAGAAUUCAACUUCUUAUAAGAGAUACCGUAUGCUUGAAAACUGAGAUCUGAGAAAAAUAUGACUACAACCUAUAAGUAAACGCCCAGCCAAACUCUAAAGCAAGAGUUCAGGUAAAAUAAGGACAUUUUUGGGUAUGUAAGCUAUAGAAAAUGUUACUACUCAUUGAUCAUCCUCUGAAAGACUUGCUUAUGUAAUUUAUCCAACAAAAAGAACAAAGGAACUCAAGAAAGAGGUAAAAAAUGAGAUCAAUGAAACAGAGUACUUAAUAUAUUGUGUAUUGUGAUUAUGUAGCAGAGUAUCUCUGUUUUAUAGGAAAUAUAAACUAAAGUAUUCAGAAAUGAUGGAACAAGAAGUCAGCAACUUUCUCUCAAAUUGUUCAGGAAAAGAUGCUUUGUAUUGUAUCUUCACCUUUUCUGUAAC